rnacentral:lncRNA from 1 species
GCAGCUAUAACAAGAUCUUGAACAAAAUCUGGAGCUCUAUGCAACCAACCAGGGGUGCUUCGAGCUGUCCGUGCAUAAUUUGCAAGACAAUGAGCUACCCUAUUUUGCGACCUAGCAAUCUUACACUGUUUGAACUACCGCUCUUCUAUAGAAUGUUUGAUUUUCUUGGCUAGGUUACCAACAGCAGAUUUUGUGAGUGAAGCAUCCGCCAUCGACGGGAGGGUGCCCAAGGAAUCUGAUCGUACUAUGACAAGGAAACUAGACCACUGAAUGGCUAGUGACAUUCCUAUCUUAAUUGCUUGUAUUUCAGCCUCCAGUGCAUUGUUGCAGUAAAAUAGAACCUGACAAGGUGCAAAAGUUACAUCCCUUUUCAUCUCUCAAGAUCAUGCUUGCACCUGCUGAUCCUGUGAUCCAUCUGAUCAACCAAUUGUUGUUAAUGCAGCAACGACGUAUGUUUUCUUGUCCACUACAUACAGGUGCGAGUAGUGUGUGUGUGUCUAUAUAAAAAAAAAGGGCAACCUGGUGUGCAUGUAGCUCCCGCUUGCGCAGGGUCCAGGGAAGGGUCCGACCACUUUGGGUCUAUAGUACGCAGCCUUUCCCUACAUUUCUGUAAGAGGCUGUUUCCAGGACUUGAACCCAUGACCUCAUGGUCACAAGGCAGCAGCUUUACCACUGCGCCAAGGCUCCCCUUCUGUGUCUAUAUAUAUAUAUAUAUAUAUAUAGUUACUAUUCAUCAUCCGGGGUGCAGAAUAAGUAUUUCUUCACCCGAGGUAAUUUUACGAUCAUUUCAUAAUUAAAUUACAUUUAGAAUUCAAAUAGUUACAUUCCUAUUGAUUCACUACGUAAAAUUUGACAUAAAAAAACAAAAAUAUAGGUCAUAAGACAAGAAAAUUUGUAGUUUAUGUGUAUUUUAGACUAUGUUUUUAUGUUUGUAGUUUUACAUAACAUAAAAUAUUUUUUACGGCGAUUAUAUAUUUUCUUACGGUCUCUUUUUACGUCGGAAAUAAGACAAAAAUUACGGAACGUAAAAUUAUGGUGCAUUGAUGGUAAAAUAGAGGGGGGGGGGUGAAGAAUAACUAUUCCUCAACCAGGAUGACGAAUAGCGCGACCCUAUAUAUACUAUUCAUCAUCCAAGGUGCAGAAUAAGUUAUUCUUCACCCGAGGUAAUAUUACGAUCAUUUCAUAAUUAAAUUACGUUUGGAAUUCAAAUAGUUACAUUCCUAUCGAUUCACGACGUAAAAUUUGACAUAAGAAAAUAAAAAUAUAGGUCAUAAGACAAGAAAAAUUACAGUUUAUGUGUAUUUUACACUAUGUUUUUACAUUUAUAAUUUUACAUAACAUAAAAUAUUUUUUUCGAUGAUUGUAUAUUUUCUUACGGUCUCUUUUUACUUCGGAAAUAAAGCAAAAUUUACAGAACGUAAAAUUACGGUCCAUUGAUGGUAAAAUAGAGGGGGUGAAGAAUAACUAUUCCUCACCGAGGGUGAUGAAUAGUCAAUCCCUAUAUAUAUAUAAGAAAAUGCGUGCGAGGACUGAGAAGUAUGUAGAGUAGUCGCCUCAGCUGGCUGCAUGCAUUGCUCUGUCUUGGCGGACGCAGCUUCGAUGCCUUAAAGGCACCUGUCUUUGGGUCACUGACAUGUGGGCUAGCCACCUGUUGGGCCCACAUGUCAUAGACAUAAAGGUAGGAAGGCACUGAAGCAUCAUCCGUCUUGACUGUAUGGUGGUUGGUUCCUCUGCCGUCAUCGCCGAAUCAAUUCAUGCCAUGUCCUGCCCUCCAUUGCAUUUUGCAUCAUGCAUCGGUCGAUGGAGUUGACACGUCGCUCUCUCACCCCCCGCUGCUUGGAUCCUUCGUGACAUGUAGUCAUGCGCUGGUCCAGAUGCAGGCCAGACCAACCGCUAAGUACGUACUAUACCAGCUAGCUAGGCUAGCUAUAAGGGUGCCAGCACGCAUAAUGGAGCCAAGCUAGCUAAUCAAUGGCCAUCGUCGUCGUUCGUCAGCUGGUGUGUGUGUUUAUCAUUUUUUUUAAACUAGCAGCAGCUGAGAAGUCAUUUGAUGUAUAAUAUAUCAACGGACUUUAUAUUUAACCAACAACCUUAAUCUUCUGUGGAUCAUGUCCCUCUCCUAACUAAUCUUCUGUAUAAAUCUGAUACGUGCCGAUCAAUUGAGAAUUUAUUGCUACUUAUUGACUUAACGAAAAUGUUUGACCAGCAUCAGAUUUUACCAUAAGAAAUAAUUUGCUUAUGGACCGUGAAUUUAUUGCUAUAUACCAUAGAUUGAUUUGGUAUAUUGGCUUACCAAAAAAUUGUUUGUUGACAGACAGAAGAGGAUGGAGAACAGAAGUCAGUGGAGAGUGGAAGGUUUGAUAUGAAUGGGUGGUGGGAAGAAAAGUGGAACAUGGAAUCUUGUGUUCUUUUUGAGUAAAUAAGAUAUAUCCACCGAAAUGAUAAAAAUGCAAUAUUAUCUUAUUAUCCGACCUUGUUUGUGAUUCAUUUGUUCAAAUCAAA